CGUACGAUACGAGUUUAUCCUGGCUCAGAAUCAACGCUGGCGGCGUGCCUCAGACAUGCAAGUCGAACGAUUAAAGCUCUCUUCGGAGAGUGUAUAGAGUGGCGCACGGGUGAGUAACACGUAAGUAAUCUACCCUCGAGUGGGGAAUAACAACCGGAAACGGUUGCUAAUACCGCAUAAUGCAGCGGCACCGCAAGGUGACAGUUGUUAAAGAUUUAUCGCUUGAGGAGGAGCUUGCGGCAGAUUAGCUAGUUGGUAGGGUAACGGCUUACCAAGGCUACGAUCUGUAACCGGUCUAAGAGGACGGUCGGUCACACUGACACUGAAUAACGGGUCAGACUCCUACGGGAGGCAGCAGUCGGGAAUUUUGGGCAAUGGGCGAAAGCCUGACCCAGCAACGCCGCGUGAAGGAUGAAGUAUUUCGGUAUGUAAACUUCGAAAGAAUAGGAAGAAUUAAUGACGGUACUAUUUAUAAGGUCCGGCUAACUACGUG
rnacentral:rRNA from 1 species